CCACUUUUUAUUAGCCGGGUACUGGUAACGUCACCCUGGUAAGUCGUGAAAAUUUUUUUCCAAUUUCAAUCACCACAAGUGGCGCUGCCCUCCUGAUCAUGCUAAGGCAGUAUCCACAGCAGGCAGUAAGGCCGCAGUCCGCACUACAUCUUUAAUAUUUAAGUCUAUAACAUCAGCUGCUACUUGAACGCAACACGUGGAUAGUAUUGAGUCAUCGGUCAAUGCUGAUGAAAGAAAUUGAAGACUUGUAUAAGCGAGGCAUUUUAUUAAUGAGCCCAAAGAACCCUGUACAGCAGUACAAGUAAAAAAUCAAGUGAAAGUUGCUGUGGCACAUCUUUUGGGAACAGAAG
rnacentral:misc_RNA from 1 species